rnacentral:rRNA from 1 species
CCUACGGGUGGCAGCAGUGGGGAAUUUUGGACAAUGGGCGCAAGCCUGAUCCAGCCAUGCCGCGUGAGUGAAGAAGGCCUUCGGGUUGUAAAGCUCUUUCGGGGACAGUGCGGUACCAGCAGAAGAAGCACCGGCUAACUACGUGCCAGCAGCCGCGGUAAUACGUAGGGUGCAGGCGUUAAUCGGAAUUACUGGGCGUAAAGCGUGCGCAGGCGGUUUGCUAAGACAGGUGUGAAAUCCCCGGGCUUAACCUGGGAACUGCGCUUGUUACUGGCAGGCUUGAGUGUGGCAGAGGGGGGUGGAAUUCCAGGUGUAGCAGUGAAAUGCGUAGAUAUCUGGAGGAACACCGAUGGCGAAGGCAGCCCCCUGGGCUAAACUGACGCUCAUGCACGAAAGCGUGGGGAGCAAACAGGAUUAGAUACCCUUGUAGUC